GCGACAUCUGGACACGGCGCGGCGCUGGCGCUGCCGGAGCUGUCGGCCCGGCCUGGCGCCGGACUAGUGUCCCUUUUGAUGAGAAGAAUAAGCCUCAUUGUGAUUCAACAGCAGAGAUCAAAGAAAAGACUUCUGUUUUCUGGCCACCAGAUAUAUGUUAUCUGUGCUUAAAGAAUUGAAAAACACACAUCAAAGGAGAAUUCUCUUGGAAAGAGAGGGUUCAAGCAUCACUGUUAGGUGUGCUGGAAUCCUUUCCCGAGUCAGUACUGCUUUCUAGAAGAAAACCGGGGAGAUCUAUUUGGAAUGUAUCUAACUCCAAAGGAACCAUCAGAGGUAACAGUAGAGACGGGGUUUCACCAUGUUGGCCAGACUGGUCUUGAACUCCCGACCUCGUGAUUCGCCCGCCUUGGCCUCCCAAAGUGCUGGGAUUACAGGUGUGAGACACCAUGCCCGGCGGAUAGAGAGAAUUUUGACAGGAUGAUUACGGAGCUAGGAAUUUCCUACAAAGCUGGGUGAUAAAAGGACAUUGGACAAAAACACAGAUAGCUUCAUUCUAUACCAGGAUCCAUCACUGAUUAGCUGUAUUAUAUUUGUCUCUACUGUAAUUUGAGGAGAAUGAUACCUGCUUCUCUAUCUUGUUGGGUUUUACAGAUGAUGUAUUGAAAGUUCAAUAAAAUCUAUAAACAAUA
rnacentral:antisense_RNA from 1 species